AUUGAACGCUGGCGGCAUGCUUUACACAUGCAAGUCGAACGGUAACAGGGAGCUUGCUCGCUGACGAGUGGCGAACGGGUGAGUAAUGCAUCGGAACGUGCCUAUUUGUGGGGGAUAACGUAGCGAAAGUUACGCUAAUACCGCAUACGCCCUGAGGGGGAAAGCGGGGGAUUCGUAAGAACCUCGCGCAAUUAGAGCGGCCGAUGUCGGAUUAGCUAGUUGGUGGGGUAAAGGCUCACCAAGGCGACGAUCCGUAGCGGGUCUGAGAGGAUGAUCCGCCACACUGGGACUGAGACACGGCCCAGACUCCUACGGGAGGCAGCAGUGGGGAAUUUUGGACAAUGGGCGAAAGCCUGAUCCAGCCAUGCCGCGUGAGUGAAGAAGGCCUUCGGGUUGUAAAGCUCUUUCAGCCGGAAAGAAAUCGCGCAGGCUAAUACUCUGCGUGGAUGACGGUACCGGAAGAAGAAGCACCGGCUAACUACGUG
rnacentral:rRNA from 1 species